CAGUAGCCGCGGUAAUACGAAGGGUGCAAGCGUUACUCGGAAUUACUGGGCGUAAAGCGUGCGUAGGUGGUGGUUUAAGUCCGUUGUGAAAGCCCUGGGCUCAACCUGGGAAUUGCAGUGGAUACUGGGUCACUAGAGUGUGGUAGAGGAUAGUGGAAUUUCCGGUGUAGCAGUGAAAUGCGUAGAGAUCGGAAGGAACAUCUGUGGAGAAGGCGACUAUCUGGGCCAACACUGACACUGAGGCACGAAAGCGUGGGGAGCAAACAGGAUUAGAUACCCCUGUAGUCCCUGUCUCUUAUAC
rnacentral:rRNA from 1 species